UUUCUACCUGGAGAUCCCUUCUACUAGAGUCUUUUGCGAACCCUGAUCUAUAGAACAGGAAGGAUUGAUUUUUUUUUUUUUCUUCUAUUCAUGGAAUCAUUUCAUGGAAUCAUGAUAUGGUUUGGGUUGGAAGGGACCUUGAAGAUCACUGUGUUCCAAUUCUCCUAUGCUGGGGACAGAGUUACCAACCACUAAUUCAGGCACUCCUCUAUUAUGUCAACUACAUCACUCAGCUUAGUGUCAUCAGCAAUGUCACUGAAGGUGUACUCAAUCCCACUGUCUAGGUUGUUGAUAAAGAUGUUGAAAAUAUGUUGAUAACUAAAUAUGUUGAUAUCUAAAAAUGGAAAAAAAAAUUGCUGAUUUUUUUUCCUGUGAAAUGUUACUUGCUUCUCUUGAUGAAAUCUGGUAUCAAUUUACAUCUAUCUUGUGCACUGUCUUUCAGCUAAAGGUCAGCUUAAAAAUUGAGCUGUCACCAUGAGAGCACCCCACGCCCACAGCUAGCAGCAGCUAUUGACUGCAGUGGUUACUUCAUGACUACAUACAAUGAGACAUUAAAGAGGACAUAAAUUAUUGAAGAACAUAAUUAAAUAGGAAGGAAGGGGUUUGCUUGGUAAAGAUAGUUUCAAAGUUAUAGAUUUCCUUUGUGAAAGGUGGCUGGAAAACUGCUGUCAUAUUAGUAAUAUAUGAGCCAAAUAACAUACAGACUAUUAACUUGUGCUCUGCUUCUUUCUCCUAUAGAUCUCUAGCAUCCCAAAAAAUGUUUUUCUGACCCCUGGCUUAUUAAUGUGACAAAACAGACACAUGCCAUUAUAUAGCAUCUCAUAACACUGGCUUAGUGGGAUUCAUUGGCCAUUGCCUUUCUUCAUACAAGAGGAAGAGAGAGGAAAGAUGAAGGGCAAAAUAGAGAGUGCUAGUCAGUUUAUAGUUUUAGAUUUCUUGAUUGUAAUCAUUUUUAAACCAUUAUGAAUACUAUUGUAAGUACUUAGAGAAAUGACAGAUAUUGAGAGCCAUGUGUAUUAUCCUAUCUGGCUAUGAUUUGAUGGAUAGAGAUAACUUUUAUUCACUAAUCUCUAAAUAAUAGCUAGCUUGUUAAACAGCAAACAAAUCUGUUAUAAUCAGAGCAGGCUGCUUCCUUAAGUUCCUAAACCCACUAAUACAAAGGGAUAUAUUUUCCUUCCUGAUCAAGUGAUCAAGAUAAAUCUUUUUUUUUUUUUCAAACAACAUAUCUUUGUCUAAUUUCCUUCUGGACAAACUUAUGCUGACAGUCAACAACUUGUAAAUACCUCAGUUCUUGCUCUGUAUAAAAUAGAUUAGAAAAGAUUUCCAUGCAAUAUUUACCCUAUAAUGCACUUUUGGAGUCAGCAGUAGCACUGCAUAUUCAAAAGUCCACUUAGUUCAGCACUGGAACAAAUCCAGAUGCCACACCACUGGAGAUACUCAAGGUCAGGCAGGACAGGGCUCUGUGCACCUGAUGGAGCUGUAGGUGUCUCUGUUCAUUGCUGGAGAGUUGGCCUGGACAGCCUUUAUGGGUCCUUUCCAACUCAAAUGAUUCUGUGAUUCUAUGCUUCUACAACAUUUCCUAUAUAUUAAACUCCUAUGUAGAAAAUGUUAUAUGGAUUUUGCUAUAGAAUCCACUUACAGAGGUAAACUCAAUGCUCUGGAGACAGCACAUUCAAGCUAUCAUUGCCAAAGACUGGUCUGAUCAUUUCUCUAAAAUGUAUAGAGACGAAGAAUUCAUCUUCUUCCCUGGUUUGACACCUAAUUAUCUUUUCUUAGGAAGACUUUUAUAUGUCUGGACUUAUGUUCCUUGAGGAAAACAUAGCAGAUUAUCUGUGACCUACCU
ensembl:lncRNA